CCAGCUUGCUGGGUGGAUUAGUGGCGAACGGGUGAGUAACACGUGAGCAACCUGCCCCUGACUCUGGGAUAAGCGCUGGAAACGGCGUCUAAUACUGGAUAUGUCCCGUCACCGCAUGGUGUGCGGGUGGAAAGAUUUUUCGGUUGGGGAUGGGCUCGCGGCCUAUCAGCUUGUUGGUGAGGUAAUGGCUCACCAAGGCGUCGACGGGUAGCCGGCCUGAGAGGGUGACCGGCCACACUGGGACUGAGACACGGCCCAGACUCCUACGGGAGGCAGCAGUGGGGAAUAUUGCACAAUGGGCGGAAGCCUGAUGCAGCAACGCCGCGUGAGGGAUGACGGCCUUCGGGUUGUAAACCUCUUUUAGCAGGGAAGAAGCGAGAGUGACGGUACCUGCAGAAAAAGCACCGGCUAACUACGUGCCAGCAGCCGCGGUAAUACGUAGGGUGCAAGCGUUAUCCGGAAUUAUUGGGCGUAAAGAGCUCGUAGGCGGUCUGUCGCGUCUGCUGUGAAAUCCCGAGGCUCAACCUCGGGCUUGCAGUGGGUACGGGCAGACUAGAGUGCGGUAGGGGAGAUUGGAAUUCCUGGUGUAGCGGUGGAAUGCGCAGAUAUCAGGAGGAACACCGAUGGCGAAGGCAGAUCUCUGGGCCGUAACUGACGCUGAGGAGCGAAAGGGUGGGGAGC
rnacentral:rRNA from 1 species